rnacentral:rRNA from 1 species
AUUGAACGCUGGCGGCAGGCCUAACACAUGCAAGUCGAACGAGUGGCGGACGGGUGAGUAAUGUCUGGGAAACUGCCUGAUGGAGGCGGAUAACUACUGGAAACGGUAGCUAAUAACGCAUACAAUCAGAUGUGCCCAGCUGGGAUUAGCUUGUUGGUGGGGUAAAGGCUCACCAAGGCGACGCUCCCUAGCUGGUCUGAGAGGAUGACCAGCCACACUGGAACUGAGACACGGGCCAGACUCCUACGGGAGGCAGCAGUGGGGAAUAUUGCCCAAUGGACGCAAGCCUGAUGCAGCCAUGCCGCGUGUAUGAAGAAGGCCUUCGGAUUGUAAAGUACUUUCAGCGGGGAGGCGUUACCCGCAGAGGAAGCACCGGCUAACUCCGUGCCAGCAGCCGCGGUAAUUC